CAGUAAAUUCAAAGAUAACUCUUGAAUUAGAGCUUCUGCAUACUGCUCAGGGCUAUAAAUGUGACUUGUUGGGUAGAAUUGGGGAAGAAAGUAAUUGUUUAUGUAAUCGUUACUUCCAAUAUUCACAUAAUACAAGCAUUUGUUAAGGUAUUGUUGAGCUUUGUCAAUACCUCCAAGUCUGCUAGCAAUUUGAGAAACUAUAACUCUGUGAUUUCUUAACUGUAAUCCCAAGCUAAUAGCAUAACCCUGUACGGACAUAAUGUUAUUUUUGCGGCAUGUGUAUGAGUAAUGUAACAAAAAUACUCUAAUCAUCUACUAAAAACUAAUUUAAACCUUAGCUGAGUAUGUCUCCAUACGAAUUCCAGCUCCGCCAGAUGCAUAGUUCACACCUUUGAGUAUGUCUGAACCACUGAUGUUUGCAAAUGGUGGAAUGAAAUUCUCAAAUCCAAGAAGUUGAGCUGCAAUCAAAAGGACUUGAGUUUGAGCUUAAUUAAAAAGAGAGAUUAAAUUUGAUAAUAAUAUAGCCAAGUUGAAAGAAUGUUACUUAUUAUGUCAAUUGCAGUUCUACCGUUGGUAAAUCUUCCGGUUGGACCCAUCGGAAAGUCAAUUCCAUAAGGUUUGUAAUUAGAUUUUGCAGAGGUAGGAAGGUUAUUGUUGUUUCCACUAUCAGAUAAAGAAUCUCCAAAGAUAAAUACACAAGGCACUUGAGAUUUCCCAUUGACACAUUGUUUAAAAUAGUUUGCAGACAAGAAAACAAUAAGAACCACCAACCAUGUUUUGAUUAUAGAUUCCAUCUCUAAGAAGAAAGUCUAAUGAAGCUACAGAAUCCAGAUGAUAAUUAAGGAACCAACCAAGAACAAACAAGUUGAAGACAUAAAUAUUAAUGAUGGGACCACUCAAUUUUAAAAAAGAAAAUAUUGGUUUUUUGCAAGUUAUUACAUUAUUAAAAGCUAAUUUACUCUACACACUACAAAGUAUCAUGUGUGGCAUGCCAUCGAACUAUAAAAACUAAUUUCUUCAUAUUGAAGCAAUAAACUAAAACAUAAAAUUAUACUAUAAACUAAGAAACUCGCCUUAGUCAAAUUAAGGGUGCCACAACUAUUCCUUAGCGUUAGCGAGCAAUAAUAUAUUCACCACAAACUCAAAGCUUCUUGAAAUGUUCUUAAGAAGAUGGAAAGAGUUUGAAAAAACUAUAUACUAACUACUUCAUAUAUAUAUAUACCCUCCGGUCACUAAUAUAAGCAAAAAUUCACUUUUAAAAUACAUUCAAUUAAUGAUAUAUGUGACAUAUAAUAAAGACCACAUACAUCAUUAAUUGAAUGUAUCUAAAAAGUAGAUUUUUGCUUAUAUUAGUGACCGGAGGGUGUAUAUAUCUUAAGAAAGACACGUUAUCAACAUGUUGAAAUAAUACUACCGGAAAAAUUGCAAUCGCGGGCCCCACUUUUCUGUUCUGUAGUGAAUGGUAGAAAAGGACUAUUUCAGACUUUCAGUUGGGGUGCCAACUUUUAUAUAUGUUGGUAGUACAUUAUUGAGUAAUGAUACAUAGACACCCUUUAUUCCCAUACACCCUUGUACACGCCAUGCAUUAGGAAGAGAAAAGAGAAAGUGUGCUUGUGCGGGAUCCACGUGACUACGUGUCAGAUUUUUAUGUGGGUGUCAAAGGGUGUAUUGCCACCUAAGAGUGUCUAUGUAUCAUUACUCUACAUUAUUAGAUUGAAUGAAUGGUCUCUGAUUUCUUAUAUGUUGUUAAUUAACUCCGUUUGAAAGUUGGAAGCACUUUUCUUGGUUAGUGCGCAUAUGUAGCGCCGACACUUUUAAUAGAAGGUGUGUUUGGUGUCCGACACUAACAAGAACAACACAUGAGUUCUCUUAAUACUGAAGGAUGUUUAGCUUGAUAGUUUAGUGAUAGAAAAUCCAUUUUUGUUUUCAUUCUGCAUCAAAGGACCAUUACAGUAAGCCAUGGUUUAGUGAAGCCUGAACUAUAUGUAUAUCAUCAUAUGACCUUAUUGCAGUGAGUAGGUUCCAAGCCUCAGUGGGACGAAAUUAACAAUUGUAAAAACCAACUCAACUAUCAUCAUUAUCAUCCACUUAAAUUUGAUCCACCUCCUUUGCUAAAGUUAUCAACUAGCUUAUCAAACACAAAUCGGAUCAAACUUGAGGUAGCAGAACAUAUUACACUUAUUUUAUUUAAUUCUAGUUUACAGUAGUCCGUACAAUUUGAUAUUAAAAGAUUGUUUCAAAUGUAGGUAGGACAAGAAUUAAUGAACGUGUACAAAUAACUUGAACCUAUUUAACUAGAGGCACUAAGCUGUGAAGUGAAAUCCAAUUCCAUUUCAAUUUCUUGUUCAACAAGGUUCUUAAUAUCCAUUGGAUAAGUGAACCCUGAAUUAUGUGAAUUAUAAGACCUUAUUGCAUAGAGUUGGUUGCUUGCCUCAGUGGGAUGGACUUCAUCCCAAAACGCAUACUCACUCCUAUUAUAGCAUGGCCUUUCAUCAGGAAUACACCCUGAUGGGCAACAAGGAACAUUUGAAACCAAAAACCCUGAAAGCCAUGGAACAUGUAGCAUGUUUAUAUAUUGUAUAAACUUCAAUCAAUCACAUUAAAUUGCAAUUAAUUAUAGUAUAUGAAUUGAAAUUUAAGUAAACUAAAAUUAUUACCAUCUGAAUUCUGGGCAUCUGACUCUAACGUAGUGUUUACAAAUAUGAAUUUGGAAUCAGCGGAGAACUUAUUAUUGAAAUGAUCCACUAAAAAUUUAAGCUUGAAAUUGAAAAUCAAUGCAGGGGCAUUUUCCUCAUCAACGCAGGACCCGUUUGUUCCAUGAGUAAAGAUGGCACUUGGUGUGCAGCCCAAAAGGCCUAACCCUACUAACACAUAUUUUCUAGCUCCAAUGUCAUGUAAAGUCUGUUACAAAUAAUAGAUGGCAUUAUUAAACCAUCCUGUGUAACUCCAAAUAAUAUGCUACUAUUGUAAUUUUCCAAAUCAUUUUGUGAAAACUAAAAACAAAGGUCAAACACAGAGUUUGAGUGGAUACCAAUAAAUUUAAAGAUAACUCUUGAAUUAGAGCUUCUGCAUAUUGCUCAGGGCUAUAAAUUUGACUUGUUGGGUAGAAUUGAGGACGAAAGUAAUUGUUUAUGUAAUCAUUACUGCCAAUAUUCACAUAAUACAAGCAUUUGCUAAGGUAUUCUUGAGCUUUGUCAAUACCUUCAAGUCUGCUAGCAAUUCGAGAAACUAUAACUUUGUGAUUUUCUAACUGUAAUCCCAAACUGAUAACAAAACCCUGCACAGAAAUAAUGUUAUUUUGGUGGCAUAUGUAUGAGCAAUGUGACAAAAAUACACAAGUCAUCUACUAAUAACUAAUUGAAGAUAAUGAUGAACAAUCAAAUAAAUGAAAAGGCUCUUUGAUCAAUUUAUACCGUAGUUAUGCUUGUCUCGAUACGAAUUCCAGCUGCACCAGAUGCAUAGUUAACACCUUUGAGUAUGUCUGAACCAUUAAUGUUUGCAAAGGGUGGAAUGAAUUUCUCAAAACCAAGAAGCUGAGCUGCAAUAAAAAGAACUUUACAGUUUGAGCUGAAUCAAAAGAUUAAUGUAACAAGAGAAAAGAAUAAUGAAAAACACUUAUAGAUUCAAUCAGUAUAGUUUACUCUUACAAAAAAAGAGAGAAUCAGAUUUCAUAAUCAUAAUAUAGAUAAGUUGAACGGAAUGCUACUUAUUAUGUCAAUUGAAGUUCGACCGUUGGUAAAUCUUCCGGUUGGGCCCAUCGGGAAGUCAAUUCCAUAAGGUUUGUAAUUAGAUUUUGCAGAGGUGGGAAGGUUGUUAUUGUUUCCACUAUCAGAUAAAGAAUCUCCAAAGAUAAAAAGACAUGGCACUUGGGAUUUUCCAUUGACAAAUUGUUGCAAAUAGUUUGCAGAAAAGAUAAGAAUAAGAACCAUCAACCAUGUUUUGAUCUCACAUGCCAUCUAAGCAGGAAAACUAAUGAAGCUACCAAAUCCUUCGGGAGCAAUAAUAUAUAUAAUCAAUACAAUUAUAUUAUUCCAUUGUAAGAAAUAGUAUAAUCAAUAUAAUUUUUAUAUUAUUCCUUUUUGAGCAAUAAUACAUUUAUAUUAUUCCUUUGUGAGUAUUAAUAUAAUCAUCAACACCUUGAAAUGUGAUAAGGAUGAAUUGGGGGUUAUUAAGAAGAUUGAAAAGACUAAUUUUCUAAUUUUAUAUAGUAAGACAGAAACAAGACUAUUGUUAAACUGUCCAUCCAAUGUUACUGUUUGAAGCAAAAAUCCACCAAGACUACACUACCUUACUAAUGAAAAGUUAGAAAAUUAAAUGGAAGCAUCAAUAAUAUAUUCACCUCAAACUUGAAGCAUAUCAAUAUCUAGCUAGCUUCUUGAAAUGUUCUUUAAUAAGAUGGAAAGAGUUUGCAAAGACUAAUAUACUAACUUCAUAUUUGAAGAAGGUGAUUGAUGGUCGAUAAGAGUUGACGUUUGAAGAUUUUUUUAUUUUAUUUUAACUAUUUGAACUAGUUUUAUUAAAGGCAUUUUAGUCCAUUCAUGUCAAAACACCUUAAUCAUCAUCCUCAAAUCUUAGUCAACAUUAAAUACGUCAACUAAUCACGUUCACCUCAACGAGGGACCAAAACUUACUUGUAAUAAUCAUAGGGUAUUUGUUGAAGGAUUAAUUGAUGAGACCAAGGUUGUGAGACUCGCGAUCCAAUAAAGAAAAAAAAAACAUAAAACAAAUAUGAUAUUAUCGUCAAAAAUUCAAAGUUCAAAUGAAAUAUUGUCCAUCAUCAAAAUCACCACCACCAUCGUCAUCAUCAUGGUCACCAUCAUCUUCACCAGCAUCGUUAGCAUCAUCGUCAUCAUCAAAUUCUGCCCCGGAUGAAACACGUUAAACAAGACACUGAUUACAUGGAAAGGAAGCAAGUGAACGCCGUAGAUGAAAACAAACAAGUAAGUGAUUUACGAAAUAUAAACUGGAGAGCGUCGAAGGUGAAGUGUUUGCCGGCUAUGAAGGUGAGAUUAGAAGUCGUCGUUGCGAUAGAGUGGCUUUUCGUUUCUAAAAUUGCAAGAGAAAGUAAUCUUUAAAGGGAAAUGUUAAUUUGUGUCCUUAAGGCACAAGUUUAGAAACCAAAUGUCGAAAUUUAAUUUUGGAAAUUGUGCAUUUAAUAUCUUGAAAGUUUAAAAACUUAUUUUUUCAAUACAAAAUUUAUGUUUUAAUUCUCUUUUUAGAUCCUUAACUUGUGCCCUUAUGACACAAGUUAACAUGAUCCUUGUUUAUAGGGUUAUAAGAUUCUAGAUUUUUUCUAUUUAAAUUUUUUGUUUGAUUUUGAAUUUGUGCCGUAUUUUGGGCUUUACUCAUCUUAGACUCUCUAUGUGAGACUGCACGAGUCUACCACAAAAAUAAUUCUAUGUGCAAAUCUAUUAAUUAUUUUCUUCUAGACUAAUAUGUGUGAGUAUUCAUUUUUGCCUUCUAUACUCGUAAAUUCAUAUAAACCCGCGAGUUUGACAACCAUAACCGAUACUAGUUACAUAAGUAACAAAAAAAUAUUAAAACUUCGUAAAUUGUUCAAUAUCAGUUGUGAGUUCAACCACACUGAGACUACACUAAACUAAAAGAGUCAAGAAAGUAUAAGUCCCGAUGUGCGAUGUGGAAGAUGGCUAACAACAAUGUCAUUUCGACAACAAUCACCAACUACCAAUCAACCUUUUUGUGGAAAUGAAGUUGUUAUUGCUAUUGCAACACAUGCCAUGUUAUUAUAUAGGACAACUCUACGUAUGUUAUGUUUCUUUGCAAGCAAUGUGGGACUAAAACUCCAUUUUUAAUUUAGACUCUCUACUUUCCACACCUCACUUGACACAUGAAAUGAAACCCGUCCUCAGUCUCACUAUGCCACAAAACUUGCUAACAAUUUCUCAUCACUAUUUUUGUAUUACAAAACCCUUAAGAUAGAAUGGACUCCGCCCUAUUCUAUUUCUGUAUCACAAAACUUUGUUAAAAUGUUACAGUUUAGAAGCCUCUAUAAACAUGGUGUGAAGCAUAUUGUGCAAUUUUACUAUUAAAAUCAUAAGGGAAUGCAGUAAUUUACAGCACAUAAAUUUUAUGCUAAUUUAAUGAAUCCUACUUAGUGAGUUCAUUCAAUAUGCAGAAUAACAAUUAUCCAUUAGAAACAUAACUCAUAUUUGAACCUACUAGUAAAAUCAGAUUUCUGAGAUGCAAUCAAUAUCCAGAGCCAUCAGUUUUUAUAUUGAAGUUCAUUCAACAUGUUUUUAAACUGUGAAUUCAAACAUGUGUAUCUCAACAUAUACUCCAUUCAAGGGAUCAACAAUGCUGAUGAAAAGGAUCCAACAGAUGCUAUUUUACAAUCUUAUUUUACAAUCUAGAUCAAUACUACUAACUUGCAGUGUUCUCUGACUGAACUGUAUCAACAAUGCUAAUAGUAUCAAUACUACUAACUUGCAGGCAGUGUUCUGUGAUCGAAGUGUACGGAGGCUUCUAGUAUUUGAAACAAUUGAUGAUGUACACCAUCCUUAAUAUUUUAUUUCAAGUUAGGAAGUGAAAAAAGCCAUUUUCUUCUAUUCCAAGAAACCCACCCAAAUAACAAAACCAAAGCAAGCAUCAUGUUUGCAACAACUCAGACAUCACUAUGCCAGAAAACAUGUGCAACAAUUUCUCAUCACUUUUUUCAGCUCAUUCAUCUCUUUGGCUGACUAAGAGAAGGCAAAUGAAUUAUCAUUAUCCUCUAUGCAAUUGGAAGCCAACCAAUUGUCAGAUUUUGUUUAUUCAACCUACCCAUUAACAAUUGUAAAAACCAACUUAAUUAUCAUCAUUAUCAUCCGCUUAACUGUGAAUCACCUCUUUUGCUAAAUUUAUCAACUAAGCUAUCAAACACAAAUUUCACUCAAAUGUAAGGCGGCAGAACCAAUUACACUUAUUUGACUUAAUUCUAGUUUACAAUAAUGUCAUUUGAUAUGAAAAUAUGGUAUCAAAUGUAGGUAGGACAAGAAUGAACGCAUACAAAUAACUUGAACAUGUUUAACUAGAGGCACUAAGCUGUGAAGUGAAAUCCAAUUCCAUCUCAAUUUCUUGUGCAACAAGGUGUUUAAUAUCCAUUGGAUAAGUGAACCCUGAAUUAGUAGAUGAAUCGUACAUUCUUGUUGCAAUGAGUAGGCUCCAAGCCUCAGUGGGAUGAACUGCAUCCCAAGACACAUAUUCACUCCUAUUAUAGCAUGGCCUUUCAUCACGAAUGCACAGUCCAUCCAACCUUGAUGGACAACAAGAAGCAUUUUAAACCAAAAAACCUGAGAUUCAUUGAACAAGCAGCAUGGUUAUAUAUAUUGUAUAAAACCUCGAUCAAUCACAUUAAAAUGUAUUCCCUCCGUUUUUUAUUAUAAGCAAAUUUUAGCUUUUAGAUUCAUUCAAUUAAUGAUGUAUGUGGUUUAAUAUUUAGACCACAUACAUCAUUAAUUGAAUGAACUUUAAAGUCAAAAUUUGCUUAUAAUAAAAAACGGAGGUAGUAGUUAAUUAUAGUAUGUGAAUUGAAAUUUAAGUAAGCUAAAAUAAUUACCAUCUGACUCUAAUGUAAAGUUUAUAAAUAUGAAUUUAGAAUCAGCAGAGAACUUAUUAUUGAAAUGUUCCACUAGAGAUUUAAGCUUGGAAAUUAAAAGUAACGGAGUGCUGCCUGAAAGUUCCAACCCAACUAACACAUAUUUUCUUGCUCCAAUGUCAUGUAGAGCCUGGAAUAAAAUAGCUCUAUUAAAAAAAGGCAUCAUAAUAAAAAAAGAAAUAGAUAGAAUCACAAAGUGCACUAUAAAAGCUAAUUUCAAUUUGAAUUAAUCACUUAAAAUGUAAAAGAAACUCACCUUAGCCAAAUUAAGGGUGCCACUUUAUAUUCCUUCUUGAGCAAUAAUGUACUCACCAUGAAAUGUGUUAAGAACAAAUUCAAAUAGGCUCGGUGAUUGUCUGAUAGAUGAUCAAAGGUUGGCAGUUUUGGUGACCAGCACCGGAACAGUGUGAUUGGGAUCAUUAUAGACACUAUCGUGCAGCAACAAUACUAUAUCAAGAAAAUUUCUAUUCACGAACUGGAUCGCAAAGCACACGAUCUGGUCAUAUAAAAAUCAAAAACCGAUUUACCUUGACUUUGGCGGAAAUCAUGGCGGUAUGGGUGAUAAUAAGCUAGUUGCAAACUGCUACAUCAUGUCGUGAAACAUUGUGAGAUGAUUUUUCGCUUUAUCCAGCAUUUUCCAUCAAGCAAAUACAUUUGCUGAUGGUUCUUCUUCACAUGUCAUCGUACAUAGAACAAAUUGCUGACAAUGUGGGACUAAAAGACCAUAUUUCUAUUCUGUACUUUCAUACCUCGCUUGGCAUUCGUAUUUGAAAUGUAUCAUCAAGUUUAAGGAAGAAUCUAGAAGAGUUGCGUUGCUGAAUCAAAUACAUGUACUGAAGAAUAUUCAAUGAAGUUUAGUUUGCAGUAUAAAACCCAUUUUGAUUUUCAUUCUGCACUCACUUCCAUUUUCCAACAUCAGACAAAGACUAUUAACAAACCGAGUCAAUGUUUGCAUUUCCUUGAGCACAUCAUCGGUCGGAUACACACUUAAAUUCAUCAAAUAACUUAUCAAACACAAAUCAAAUCAAACUUAAGGCGAGAGAACCAAUUACACUAAUUUGAUUUUAUUCUAGUUUAUAAUAAUGCUAUUUGAUAUGAAAAGAUUGCUUCAAAUGUAGGUAGGAAAAGAAUGAAUGUAUACAAAUAACUUGAACCUAUUUAACUUGAGGCACUAAGCUUUGAUGUGCUCUCAUUUAUGGACUCCAAUUCCAUCUUAGUUUUUUGUUCAACAAGGUUUUUAAUAUCCAUUGGAUAUGUGAAUCCUGAAUUAUAUGAAUCAUAAUAAGACCUUGUUGCAGUGAGUUGGUUAUAUGCCUCAGUGGGAUGGACUUCAUCCCAAAAAAAAUAAUCACUCCUAUUAUAGCAUGGCCUUUCAUUAGCAUAACACCUUCCAAUCAACCUCGGUGGACAACAAGGAGCGUUUGAAACCAAAAACCCUGAGAUUCAUUUAACAUUCAGCAUGGUUAUAUAUGUUGUAUGCACCUCAAUCAAACACAAUAAAUUGUUUUAAUUAUAGUGUGUACAAAAAGAUUUUUAUAUAAUGACUAAUUUAAGGACCGAUUUAGAAACCAAAAAUUUCAAAUCGGUUGCUCACAUUAGAAACUAGAAACUAGUGAUUGAGAGACUUUUCACAAAUCAGUCAGAAAUUAAUUUAGAGAACGAUUUAGAGACUGAUUCAGACCAAAAUAUUUUGUUAAUACAAGCAUUUGUUAAGGUAUUGUUCAGAACUGUCAAUACCUCCAAGUCUGCUAGCAAUUUGAGAAACUAUUACUUUGUGAUUCUUUAACUGUAAUCCCAAGCUGAUAACAGAACCCUGUACAGACGUAAUGUUAUUUUGGUGACAUGUAUAUAAGCAGUGUAACAAAAAUAUUCUAGUCCUCUACUAAAAACUAAUUGCAGAUAAAGAUGAACAAUCAAAGAAAUGAAGAAGGCUCUUUGAUUUUCCUGUAAAAAAGAAAAAGACUCUUUGGUUUAUAAUUUUAUUUAUGCCAUAGUCAUGCUUGUCUCGACACGAAUUCCAGCUCCACGAGAUGCAUAGUUCACACCUUAGAGUAUGUCUGAACCACUAAUGUUUGCAAAUGGUAGAAUGAAGUUCUCAAAACAAGAAGCUGAGCUGCAAUAAAAAAUAACUUUAUAGUUUGAGCUGAAUCAAAAGCUUAAAUAAGAAGAGAAAAGAACAAUGAAAAACACUUACUGGUUCGAUCAAUAUAGUUUACUCACAAACAAAAAAAAAAAAAUAGAGAAUCAGAGUUCAUAAUAUAGAUAAAUUGAAAGAAUUGUUACUUAUUAUGUCAAUUGCAGUUCGACCGUUGCAUAAGGUUUGUAAUUACAUUUUGCAUAGGUAGGAAGAUUGAAAGAAUCUCCAAAGAUAAAAAGACAAGGAACUUGGGAUUUCCCAUUGACAGAUUGCUGCAAAUAGUUUGCAGACAAGAGAAGAAUAGGAAACACCAACCAUGUCUUUAUUAUAGAAUCCAUCUCUAAGAAGAAAAUCUAAUGAAGCUAAUAAAUCCAGAUAAUAAUUAAGGAACCAACCAAGAACAAGAUAUCGAUGCUGAGUUUGAGUUUAAGAAAGAUGGGUUUUUGGCAAGUUACAUUAUUAACUAAACAUAUAUACUAAUGCUAUAAAACUAUAAAAGCUAAUUUCUUCAAAUUGAAUUAAUAACUUAAAUCAUAAAAUUUGAUAAACUAAGAAAAUCACCUUUGUCAAAUUAAGGGUGCCACAAAUUCCGUAGCAAGUAAUAAUAUAAUCACCUCAAACUCAGCAUCAAUAUCUUGCUAGCUCCUUGAAAUGUGAUAUGGAAGAAUUGGAGAAUAUCAAGAAGAUGACUUUAAAUGGAGCCCUGUAAAUGGAAAGUGGAAUUAGACUCUUUUCAUUACUAUUUUUUUAUUUUUUUGACGGAGGUCUUUUCAUAGGUUAUUCUCGGAUUCAAUACUGAAUUUUUUAAAAUAAUCGAUAAAGUUUGCAAAAGACUGCUCCCUUCAUCCUAAAUUAUAGAUCGCCUUACAACAUCAUCACCGGAACAUUAAUGUUACUUAUUAUAUCAUUAAUUAUGUAUUACUCUUUUAUUUUUUAAGGGUUUUUCUAUCAUGCGCAAAUUUGCACAUGUUAAGAAAUUUAAAAUAGUAACUUUGCAUUGGAACUUGAACAUUUUGUAUUAAAUAUAUAACUUUUUGUUAAAUAAUUGUUGGUUUCAAUAAAAACUUGCUACUUUUAGUUACCUUAACAUGUGCAAUAUUGCACAUGUUAGACAAACCCAUUUUUUAAUUUUUUAAUGGUUUAAUAGUGUUUUUGGCCGCUGUAAUAUAGUGCACUUUUGGUUUUAGUCCUCGUAAAAAAAAAAAAAAUUAGAUUGAUACAUUGGGGUGAGAGACCAAUCCUAAAGAAUCUUCAUUUUUCAAGGGUGGAAUCUAAAAAAAAGUUUUACAAGAGCUAAAACCAAAAGUGCACUAUUACAGGGGCCAAAAACACUGUUAACCCUUUUUUAAUUCAUCUUUUACAUUUUAUUAUUAAGGACAAUUUUAUAAAACAAUUUAUUAUAUAUUUUUCUCAUACAAAUUAGGUACAAUUUUAAUACGGAUUAAACGUUCGAAACGUGGUAUAAUUUAGGACGGAAGAGUAAUAUUCUAUCUUCAAACUUCAUAUAAUAAGAAGGAAAAAAAACGGUAUCAAAUUAUCUACAUGUUAAAGUGACACUACCAGAAAUAUUACUAUCGCGGGCCCCAGUAUUAUGUUAUGUUAGUGACUAAAAAUGCUGAUGAAAAUUUUGAUAGGGACUAAAAAGUGCAAUUUUAUUUUAUAGAGACUAAAAAUAAAAUUAUGAAUAUUUAUAAGUACCAUUUACUUAAUUAACUUUUUUUUAAUAUAUUAUUCUCUCAAUCACCUCCUGUGCUUGGCUUCUGAAUUCUAUCUUGCGGUUAAUCCAAUGUUGAGAAACCAUAACGAAAAUAAAUAAAGUAGUGUUAUUUGAAUGGAAAUGUUACGAUUCAAAAUAGUAUACGAAGAUACACUUGACAUGACAUAAUUCGUUGAGGCCAAUUGAUAUGUGAUUAAUAGGAAAAUGCUUUAUGGUAACACACGAAAUUUUACGGAUGCGUGGAAUAGCUUCUUUUCAACGCGCUACAGUUUCUGGCUUUCUGCUUUGUUUUUAAAUGUAAUGAAAUGGAAUUACAUAUAUAAGUUGUUGAAAUUCAUGUGGUAGGAACAACAUGGAGGAGACUUUAUCCUAUUAUUUUAGUAUGAAGGCUUGAGCAUCUUACUUUUGUGAAUGAAGCACUUCCUUGGUACCUUUUUUUAUAGUUUGAAAGUGAGAAGUUGCAACUCUUCUCCUUUCCUUCCUUCAUACACAAUGAAAUCCCACAUGAAGGUGUUUCCAUGUAGAGAACAUGGAAACGUUAGUUGAUGUUUCAUAUGCCGUAUUUUAUUAUAUUAUAUAGAACAAGUUCAUAUGUUAUGUUUCUUUGCUAGCGAUGUUGGACUAGAAUGACCAUAUUUUUACUCUCUACUAUCACACGUCAUUUGGAACUUUUAAGUAUAUUAGUACAAUCUUUAAUAUUACGUUUGCUCACCAGUUUCUCAUCACUGUUUUUUCAUCUCUUUGAUUGAAUAAGUCAUCCACCAUUUGUGCAAAGGUGUAGCAUUUGUAGUAAACAGUAACACUAAUUUUGUUAAUUCAUAUAUAUGAUCUUCAUAUUGAGUCCCAUUGUCCCUAAUUCUCCUUUAGAACCAUUUGUGGUUGCAGAUUGUAGUCAUCAUUGUCCUCUAUGGAAUUGGUAGCCCUCUAUUAACAAUUUGUUGGAUCUAUCAAUAGGUUGUUCUUGAUCGUCUUUGACAACAACUAAGAAAAUCGAAAACAUUGGAAAGAAUUGAGACACUGGGUAAAUGUGCGGCCAACAUAUUUUCAGUUCCAAAUCAAAUAAUUACUUUUCUCCUUAUCAAGAUUUCAGAUACACGCUUAUAUAUAGUUAUCGACUAACGUAUAAUCAGAUAAACUUAAGAUAGUAUAAGAUUAAACUUAUUUCAUUAUUUCAGUUAACAAUAAUGCUAUUUGAUAAGAAAAGAUUGUUUCAAAUGUAGGUAGGAAAAGAAACAAUCCAUACAAUAUUGUAACAGCAUAUGAGUAGGGCCUAAUUAUGUAAAAGCUAUUUAGCUCAAUGUGAAUGAAUGCAUAAUAACUUGAACCUAUUUAACUAGAGGCACUAAGCUUUGAUGUGAUUACAUUUAUAGGCUCCAAAUCCUUCAUAGUUUCUUGUUCAGCAAGGUUCUUAAUAUCCAUUGGAUAAGUGAAGACUAAAUUAUUAUAUGAAUCAUACAUUCUUGUUGCAGUGACUAGGUUCCAAGCCUCAGUGGUAUGGAAUUCAUCCCAAAACACAUACUCUCCCCUAUUAUAGCAUGGCCUUUCAUCAGGAAUACACCCUCCAAUCAACCUUGUUUUGCAACAAGGAGCAUUUGCAACCAAAAAACCUGAAAUCAAACACAGUAAAAUUGAUUUUAAUUAUAGUAUAUGAAUUGAAGUUUAAGUAAACUAGACAAUUAUUACCAUUUGAAUUCUGGCUAUCUGACUCGGAUGUACUGUUUAUAAAUAUGAAUUUGGAAUCAGCAGAGAACUUAUUAUUGAAAUGAUCCACUAGAGAUUUAAGCUUGAAAUCAAAAAUGGAUGCGAUGUCAUUUUGCUCCUCAACACAAGACCCAUCUGUCCCAUGAGUAAAGAUGGCACUUGGAGUGCAGCCCAAUAGACCUAACCCAGAUAACACAUAUUUUCUUGCUCCAAUUUCAUGUAAAGCCUGUUCCAUGUACCAAAUGCCUCUAUUAUAAACCAUGAUAUUCAUAACUAAUGUAACUUCCAUUAAUUUGCUACUACUGUAAUUAUCUAAAUCAUUUAGUGAAAGUAAAAGUGAAACACAAAGUUCAAGGGGAUACCUGUAAAUUCAAAGAUAACUCUUCAAUUAGAGCUUCUGCGUACUGCUGAGGGCUAUAAAUGUGUCUUGUUGGAUAUAAUUGGGGAAGAAAGUAAUUAUUUAUGUAAUCAUUACUGCCAAUAUGCACAUAAUAUAAGCAUUUAUUAAGGUAUUCUUGAGCUUUGUUAAGACUUCCAAGUCUGCUAGCAAUUUGAGAAAUUAUAACUUUGUGAUUUUUUAACUGUAAUCCCAAACUGAUGACAAAACCCUGUAGCAAUACGAAUUUAUUUAAAGAUGAACAAUCAAAGAAAUGAAAAGGCUCUUUGAUUUCUAAUUUAUGUAAACCUUAGCCAUGCUUGUCUCGGUACGAAUUCCAGCUGCGCCAGAUGCGUAGUUCACACCUUUGAGUAUGUCUGAGCCAUUAAUGUUUGCAAAUGGUGGAAUGAAGUUCUCAAAGCCAAGAAGCUGAGCUACAAUCAAAAUAACUUUAUAGUUUGAGCUGAAUCAAAAGUUUAAGGUAACAAGAGAAAAGAACAAAGAAAAACACUUCAUGUUUCAUAAUAUGGUUAAGUUAAAAGAAUGUUACUGAUUAUGUCAAUUGAAGUUCGACCGUUGGUAAAUCUUCCAGUUGGGCCCAUCGGAAAGUCGAUUCCAUAGGGAUUGUAAUUAGAUUUUGCAGAGGUAGGAAGGUUAUUGUUGUUUCCACUAUCAGAUAAAGAGUCUCCAAAGAUAAAUAGACAAGGCACUUGGGAUUUCCCAUUGACACAUUGUUGCAAAUAGUUUGCAGAAAAGAAAACAAUAAGAACUACCAACCAUUUCUUGAUUAUAAAUUCCAUAUUUAAGCAGACAAUCUAAUGAAGCUAGCUAAUCCAGGAAAUAUUUAAGGAACCAACUGAUAACAAGAUGAAGACAUAUUGGUUUUUGGCAAUUUUCAUUAAAUUAAAUAGACAUACUACUCCUAAUAUGAGAGAGGAGAACACAUUUGUGUCCCCCACAUGUUCCUUGAUAUUAGUCACCGCUAUGCGGCGGUGGAAACUUCAUACCAAUAUCAUGUUAUCAAAAAUAAUAAUAUUAAUAAUAAUAGUGGAAAAAUAAGUAGAGUCACACAAAAUAUCUUCCUAUUUUUUAUUUUUGUCUAAUAAAAAUUUAGGGUGAGGAGAUUGUACCUCAAUCCAAGAUAAGGAAGACAUUCGAGUUCAAAACGAGCUUACAAAGACAUUAUCGGAUCCAAGACUUAUCAUUUUACUGGUAGAACAAGUUUUUGGUGUCGCAAAUAUUUUCUUAUUGCAUACCAUAAAAUUAUAAAAGCUAAUUUUAAAUUGAAUCAAUCACUUAAACUAAAAAACUCACCUUAUCCAAAUUAAAAACAUGGAUGGAGUUUCCAAACACUAAUUUUCUAACUUUAUCAUAAAAAACAAACGUUAUCAAUAUGUUCAAUUGACACUACCAGAAAGAUUACUAUGAUUGGUCCCAUUUUUAUGUUAUGUGGUGAAUAUUGAAAAGGACUGUUUCAGUUGGGGUGGUAGCUGAUAAAUGAUGGUACCCACUAUAAUAUUGGAUUGAAUUGAAUGAUAAGAUUAUGUUUAUAUAAAAUAAAUUAUUUUGCUGCAAAAUAUAAAGAAUGAUAAGAUCAAAAUGAAGAGGGCCAAAAUUAUAAUUGAAUAAGCUACAAAUUUUAGUAUUCAACAAGAUUUAUGAAGAAAAAAAAAAAUUGAAUUAGAUAUCUACUGUGAAGCUCCGAUACUUCAAAAUGGAUGACGUAUCGUAUCCUCUUUGUAUCUUGCACCGAUACCUGUCUCAUACUUCCUGAUACAUAUCAUGAGAGUAUCCAAUAAUUAUCCUACACCGAUACCUGCCCCAACACUUCCCAAUUAAUGUUAACUAAAAUAACUUAACUCUUGCGUAUAGUGCUUAUUUUUUGGAUCGAUAUAAUAUAACACUAACAAUGUUUCUUUUGCAUACAGUAUAUCACUUAUGGUGCUCUCUUCGGGAUAUAUUGUGUAUGUAAUUGACUAAUCAUCAUUCUCUUAAUCAUCAAUAUUAUUUAUAUUUAUGUUGAUGUGUUACGAGUCUAUGAUUGAUUUCUUUUGUUUGUUAAUAUAUUUGCAUAUUAAAAAAAUGGCUAUAAUUAUAUUGUACAUUUAACUAUAUAAUUUUUUUAUUAACGUAUCCCAACCGUACGGUAUCAUAUCUUGAUUUUGGAAAUUUUCCAAUAUUAAUAUAUCGGUGCAGUAUCGUAUCUGUAUCGUAUCUCAUAUCCGGACUUCAUGUGUGUAUCAUUUACAUCACCUCGCAAAAAGCAUGGGGAUAUCAUUUUCAUCAUAUGUGGUGUGUGUAUGUUUAACGUCAUCAUUUCUCUAUUUGUACUGCUCCAUACUUUUGUCAAUUGACUACCACACAUGUGCCCUUAAAAUUUUUAUUUUAGUAUCAUUCUUUUGGUUGAAGAAAUUAUUUUUCCUUCUGAGCAUUGAAGAAAUUAUUAGUUAAGGUAAGAUUUUUUUGAGUCUCGUCCGAUAAAAAGCUACUUGCACAAAAAUUACCAAAAUACCCUCAAAUUAAUAAUAAAUUUCCUUUUAAGUGUUUUAUGUAAUAAAAAUCAUUUUCCCCUUUCUAAACUUAUGUUGAAGAUCAAUAGUUCAAUACUACGGUUUUAUGCAAUUGUAUACUUCCUAUUGUUAAUUAGUUAUAAUUAGUUUGAUUUUAUGUUCGAUUUUGAGUAGGAAAGUAGUGUUUAUCGUUCUCUCUGCAAGUUUUAUUUAGUUUACUAAAGUAGUAUAACUCAAUUCACUUAAAUAUCCACAAACUUGAUUCGCAUAAGAUUCCGCAAACUGAGUUUACGUAAAAUUUGACUUUCCAAAAGUUUGUAACUUUAAUAAUGUAGGUAUACUUGAACAUGUAUGUGAACUAAAUUCACUUCGAUUUAUAAACAAAGAAAAGACAAAAACACAAAAAUUAAUGUCGUAAAUUUUCAUACUAUCAUUGGUCCCUCCUUCAAUUUUUACAUUGCUCUCUUUUUGGAUCGGUGUGGAAUGGUAUUCUUCAUUGGGUUGUUAUUUCCAUGGUCGUUCUGUUCGAUGUUAAGGAUCAUUUUAUUCAGUUCAUAGAUGGUGGCGGGUGGCUCUCAGGUACGGUCCACUUUGUUAAACGUCAUUUGGUUUGCUACUGUUUGGGAAAGAUGGAAAGAAAGAAAUAACAAAAUUUUCAAGGUUAAAGAAUGUUCGAUUAUGCGAAUAGUGGACAAAAUGAAGUCUCUUUCCUUUUUAUGGUUAAAGGAGAAAGUUUUUCAAUUCUCUUUCGAUUACCAUGGUUGGUGGCUUAGUCCCCUCACUAUGUUAGGCUACACUUAGUUGUUAUUUUCUUCCGUUGCUUUUUGUUGUUUUUUCUUUUGGAAAAAGCUAAAACGCACGACAUAAAAUUUCUUCACCAUUGCACGAAUGAGUUGUAAGUUGUAGUUAGAAUACUUUUUUAAUUAUGCUUUUACUUCAAACGAUCACUGUAGUCUAGCAUAUGUGUUUGUCUAUGAGAAAACACAAACACUUCUCUCCUCAUCACUGUAUCUUUGUGAGUUGCUGAUGUUUGUUGAUUACCAUGUGUUGCAGCAAACAAGAAUGUUUAUCACCGUUUGCCUUCUCUAAGGGUCUGUUUGGUAGAAGAGAACUUGCAAAGAGAGAAAUAGGAGAGAGAGAGAGAGAUAUAUAUAUAUAUAUAUAUAUAUAUAUAUAGAAGAGAGAUAGCAAUGUUACCCUGUUUGGUUUAGCAUAGAAAAAGAAAAGAGAGAUAAAAACUGGUAGGGCCCACUUACUUUACUUUUUGUUUCUCCUCUGGCAUGCGAAGAAACCGGAAGAAUAACACACUUUUUCUCAAACUUCCACUUUUACCCUCGUUUUAUCAUGAGUCCUCACACUUCGCAUUUUUUUAACGUUUUUUUUUCAUCUUAAUAUUACAAUGUAUUUUGCAUUUAAGAAAAUAAAUGGGUUAGUAACUUUUUUUUGUACAGGGCUAGUUGCAGAUAAAAAUAAUUGAUUAUGUAAUUAAAUAAUUGAAUAAAGAUAAAAAUAAAUUUGAAUGUCCUUUUUUUAUUUUAAGGGAUUCUUGUACUUUCAAAAAAUUAAUACACUUCUAUCUUUUCUAUUUCUUUUCUUAUUCUCUUAUACCAAACAAUACCUUAAAUCUAUUCUAUUUCUCACCUCUUUCUCUCUUUCCAUACUCUCUCUCACUUAUUUCUCUCUUCACAACUUCUCUCUCAAACCAAACAUAGUGUAAACGUUUAUAUAUUAACCAGGAUGAUGUUUUAUUAUAAAAUAUUGUAAGGUAGCACUCAUUAAAAGAGAAUACCACAUGAAAUUGAAGUUGUCGUGCAAAUUCGUGUGUUGAUUUGUCGUACCGUAUAGCAACUCUCCUUUCUUUUCCUGAUUUGUAACUAUUGUACAGAUUUGAGUGUUUUUCUUUUGCAUACCUUAUUGUAGGAAAGACAUUUUGUGUUGAUAGUAUAUUCCAUUUUAGCUUCUUCAAAAAAAAAAAAAAUUAAUAAAAUACCUUGUGAUUCAAUCAUUUAUUUUUUAUUGAACUUGAUUACAUAUUCAUAUUCAUGGUAUUUGUGAGACAUAAGAGGCAAAAGUUUAGAAUGAAAGACGCGACUUUUAUGAUGAUAUAAUAAUUAAAAGUAAUCAUUGUUUAUUUUCUUCAAGUAAUUUGCAUAAAUAUAAGUUUUAGUAUAAAUUUUUUAUUAACAUAUCUUAACCGCAUCGUAUCCUAAAUUUUUAAAAAAUUAUGUAUCAACGCAUCCAUAUCGUACCCACGCUUAUACAACAUAUCCGGCUUCAUAGUUUUCCACCCUCUAAACUUCUCUCCUCCAAACUCCAAAACUAAAAACCUCUCAAACAAAGUGUAAAUAAAUUUUAAUAACUUUGCAGGGUCAAUGACCAACUAAGAUCAGUGUCAUUGGGACAACAUCAGACACCGUCAUGCAAGUACGAUUGUUGAUGUUUACCAAAUUACCAUGCCAUAUUAUAUAGUACAAGUUCAUGUUAUGUUUUCUUUGCUAGUAAUGUGGGACUAGAAAGACAACUCUCUACUAUCACACGUCAUGUGAUAUUUGUAGUAAUAUUAGUAUAGUACUAACUAUAGUAUUACGUCUGCAACAACUCAGACAGAUGCUUGAAAUUAAUGAAACCCAAUCAUUAGUUAAUCAUUCAGUUCCUAAUCAAAUAAUUACCUUCGUCCUUAUCACACUUAAUGUAGAUUAUUUACUGUAUAAAUAUAUGGGAUAAUAUCAUCAGAUACACACUUAUAUAUAGUUAUCGAAUAAUUUAUUUAACACAAAUCAAAUCAAGCUUAAGGUGGUAUAACCAAUUAAACUUGUUACAUUUAUUCCAGUUUACAAUAUUGCUGUUUGAUAUGAAAAGAUUGCUUCAAAUGUCGGUAGGAAAAAGAAACAAUCCAUAUAUUAUUGUAACAGCAUAUGAGUAGGGCCGAUUUAUAUAAAAGCUAUUAAGCUCCAUGUGAAUGCUAAUAACUUGAACAUAUUUAACUCGAGGAACUAAGCUGUGAAGUGAAAUCCAAUUCCAUCUCAAUUUCUUGUUCAACAAGGUGCUUAAUAUCCAUUGGAUAAGCAAACCCUGAAUGAUUAGAUGAAUCGUAAGAUGUUGUUGCAAUGAGUAGGUUCCAAGCCUCGCCGGGAUGGACUGCAUCCCAAAACACAUACUCCCUCCUAUUAGAGCAUGGCCUUUCAUCACGAAUACACAAUCCAACCGCGCUUAUUGGACAACAAGGAGCCAUUGAAACCGAAAAACCUGAGAUUCAUUGAACAUGCAGCUUGAUUAUGCAUUGUAUAAACCUCGAUCAUUCACAUUAAACUGUAGUUAAUUAUAUAGUAUGUAAAUUGAAAAUUGAAGUAAACUAAAAUUAUUACCAUAUGAAUGCUCGGCAGUUGACUGUAAUGUAUUGUUUAUUAAGAUGAAUUUGGAAUCAGCAGAGAACUUAUUAUUGAAAUGAUCCACUAAAGAUUUAAGCUUGAAAUCAAAAAUGGAUGCAAUGUCAUUUUGCUCCUCAACACAAGACCCAUAUGUCUCAUGAGUAAGGAUGGCACUUGGAGUGCAGCCCAAUAGGCCUAACCCAGGUAACACAUAUUUUCUUGCUCCAAUUUCAUGUAAAGCCUGUUACAUAUACCAAAUGCUUCUGUUAUAAACCAUGAUAUUCAUAAAUCAUUUAGUAAAAGCAAAAGUGAAACACAAAGUUCAAGUGGAUACCUGUAAAUUCAAAGAUAACUCUUCAAUUAGAUUUUCUGCAUACUGCUCAGGGCUAUAAACGUUGCUUGAUAGAUAUAAUUGGGGAAGAAAGUAAUUAUUUAUGUAAUCAUUACUGCCAAUAUGCACAUAAUACAAGCAUUUGUUAAGGUAUUCUUGAGCUUUGUCAAUUCCUCCAAGUUGGCUAGCAAUUUGAGAAACUAUAACUCUGUGAUUU
rnacentral:lncRNA from 1 species